GAGUUUGAUCAUGGCUCAGGAUGAACGCUGGCGGCGUGCCUAAUACAUGCAAGUCGAGCGAACAGACGGGGAGCUUGCUCCCCUGACGUUAGCGGCGGACGGGUGAGUAACACGUGGGUAACCUACCUAUAAGACUGGAAUAACUCCGGGAAACCGGGGCUAAUGCCGGAUAACAUGUUGGACCGCAUGGUCCUACAGUGAAAGACGGUCUUGCUGUCACUUAUAGGUGGACCCGCGCCGUAUUAGCUAGUUGGUAAGGUAACGGCUUACCAAGGCAACGAUACGUAGCCGACCUGAGAGGGUGAUCGGCCACACUGGAACUGAGACACGGUCCAGACUCCUACGGGAGGCAGCAGUAGGGAAUCUUCCGCAAUGGGCGAAAGCCUGACGGAGCAACGCCGCGUGGGUGAUGAAGGCCUUCGGUCGUAAAC
rnacentral:rRNA from 1 species